rnacentral:rRNA from 1 species
GACGAACGCUGGCGGCGUGCUUAACACAUGCAAGUCGAACGGAAAGGCCCUGCUUUUGUGGGGUGCUCGAGUGGCGAACGGGUGAUUAACACGUGAGUAACCUGCCCUUGACUUUGGGAUAACUUCAGGAAACUUGGGCUAAUACCGGAUAGGAGCUCCUGCUGCAUGGUGGGUGUUGGAAAGUUUCGGCGGUUGGGGAUGGACUCGCGGCUUAUCAGCUUGUUGGUGGGGUAGUGGCUUACCAAGGCUUUGACGGGUAGCCGGCCUGAGAGGGUGACCGGCCACAUUGGGACUGAGAUACGGCCCAGACUCCUACGGGAGGCAGCAGUGGGGAAUAUUGCACAAUGGGCGGAAGCCUGAUGCAGCAACGCCGCGUGCGGGAUGACGGCCUUCGGGUUGUAAACCGCUUUCGCCUGUGACGAAGCGUGAGUGACGGUAAUGGGUAAAGAAGCACCGGCUAACUACGUG